UUUUUCCUGGGAGGCGCGUGAUCAUUGUUGCCGUGCUGACCUCACAAGCAUUACGUUAUGGAGCCGAAUAGGCAGGUUGGUGUGCAGCCCUUUUGCGGGGAAGCCUGAAAACCUGAUAGAGGUUCCGCCCUGGUUUUUCCAGGUUUUGCAUGUCAACGUGAAACGACCUCCCGGGAUCUUU
rnacentral:other from 1 species